GGACUUGCAGAUGUCUAAUGGGUGACUAGAACAGGGGGAAGAAUCUCAUAAUUUUUUGUUUUCAUCCUACAUCUGUCCUCUUUAUUGCCUUAACUUUUAGGUCAAUUUCUACUAACCUCUGCCUGUAGGCAUGGUUUCUGACUGGAGCUGUUCUCAGCUUGGAUGUUCGCUUCCUCUGUGUGCCCUCAUGGAUCCCGCAAAUCUGGAUCCACCAGAAGUAAUGGCAUCCCAGAUCUCUGCUGUCAGAUUGCCCAAGGAGUAUUUUAUCCAACAACAGGCAUCAAAUUGAUCAGGUCUGGAGACAAGGCAGACAACCACCAUGCUUGAUGAAGGCCUAAGUGAUACCAAGACGGAAGUGGUAAUUAAGGCUGAAGAGGACAUACCAAGUACAAUCAUGGCGCACUUUACAUACCAAAAUGAAAGACCCUGGAUGUAAAUGAAAUAACAACAAUUGUAAUUUACUAUGUAUCCAAGACUAUACUAAUGAAUUUAAUAUCUUGUUAAAUAUUUACAACACUCUCCCAACC